rnacentral:rRNA from 2 species
AAACUUUCAACAACGGAUCUCUUGGUUCUGGCAUCGAUGAAGAACGCAGCGAAAUGCGAUAAGUAAUGUGAAUUGCAGAAUUCAGUGAAUCAUCGAAUCUUUGAACGCACAUUGCGCCCCUCGGUAUUCCGGGGGGCAUGCCUGUUCGAGCGUCAUUACA